rnacentral:rRNA from 1 species
GAGACCCACGCCAACAGUUGCCAGCAUGUCCUCCGGGAUGAUGGGGACACUGUUGGGACCGCCUCUGCUAAAGAGGAGGAAGGAAUGGGCAACGGUAGGUCAGCAUGCCCCGAAUUACCCGGGCUACACGCGGGCUACAAUGGGCAGGACAAUGGGAAUCGACACCGAGAGGUGAAGGCAAUCCCCUAAACCUGCCCUUAGUUCGGAUUGUGGGCUGCAACUCGCCCACAUGAAGCUGGAAUCCGUAGUAAUCGCGGAUCAACAUUCCGCGGUGAAUAU